rnacentral:lncRNA from 1 species
AAUGCAUUAGGUUACACUAACUAUAUGAAUGAAACAGAUUCAAUCCAAAAUGGAACACAAGUCUAGAUGAUACUUCUGCAAUUAAGGCGACAAGAGUGACUCAAUUCAUGCUUAUGCUCACUAGUUUUAUCAAGGCCAAUGAUUCAAGUAGCUUAGACAUACUUCUAAAUGCUUAUAAGACAUCACUGAUGGAUUUAACUAUGGCAUAGCAACAAUCAGAACUGGAUUGAGUCGAGACAAGCAGAUUUCAAUUUCUAACAAUGACAAUGCAAGUUCUAUACAGUUCUCUAAAUGCAAAGCUUAUAUCAGGACAUUUGCAAUUUAGGCUCAUUUUUAAAUGCAUUACUACAUGAAUGCACAAUCUUAAAGCAUUAGCUAUAUGAAUGCAACGGGUUCAAUCCAUGAGUAAUAUUAAAGCUCUGCACAACAGUUUCAAUCAGAACCAAUGAUGCAAGCAACUUAGACAAUUUCUAAUUGAUGCAAGACUUUCAUUGAUGGAUUAAACAUAGGCAAUAGCAUCAGAUAACACUAGGAUUGAACUUAGACAGUAUGAGAUAUGCUUAUG